rnacentral:rRNA from 1 species
CUACGGGCGGCUGCAGUGAGGAAUAUUGCACAAUGGGGGGAACCCUGAUGCAGCAACGCCGCGUGGAGGAUGACGCAUUUCGGUGUGUAAACUCCUUUUAUAUGUCAAGAAAAUGACGGUAGCAUAUGAAUAAGCACCGGCUAACUCCGUGCCAGCAGCCGCGGUAAUACGGAGGGUGCAAGCGUUAGUCGGAAUCACUGGGCGUAAAGGACGCGUAGGCGGGUUGGAAAGUCAGGUGUGAAAUCCUACAGCUUAACUGUAGAACUGCACUUGAAACUUCUAAUCUAGAGUAUGGGAGGGGGAGAUGGAAUUAGUGGUGUAGGGGUAAAAUCCGUAGAUAUCACUAGGAAUACCUAAAGCGAAGGCGAUCUCCUGGAACAUUACUGACGCUGAGGCGUGAAAGCGUGGGGAGCAAACAGGAUUAGAUACCCGUGUAGUC